CUGCGCCGCUCGGACUAGGGGAGUCGGGCGGACGACGGGAGCGCGCGCGCCAGGGGCGGAGCGAGGUAGGGGCUACGCCCCCCGGCGCCCCGCGGGGCCGCCCACCAUGCCGCCCCAACGCCCUGGAUCCGGCCGGGAAUGAGGGGGUUUCAGCCCAGGCAGCAUGUCCUGAAGGUCUUCCCUGAAGUCUGCACUCUAGAUUAGCUGGCGGUCCUGCUGUGUGGUGCCAUAGUUUCAUAGAUACGCCUUUUUCAAGCCCUCCUCACUGUGAAUUGCUAUAAGAGAAUAAAAGACCAUGCCUUGAAUUCUCUCAGCUAAACAUACUGCAUUCCAUCAAAGAUUUGUUUUCUCCCCAAAUGGACAUUGUUUUGAUGAUGUAUACAAGAAACAAUCCUUCCUGUGCUGAGCCACUGUUUGGGCAGAAUAACUCACUUAAUGUUAAUUUCAAUACAAGCAAGAAAACAGUCUGGAUUAUUCAUGGAUACAGACCAAUGGGCUCCACUCCUAAAUGGCUUCAGAACUUUCUAAAGGUUUUGUUGAAUCACGAGGAUCUGAAUGUAAUUGUCGUAGACUGGAACCGGGGUGCUACAACUUUUAUUUACAACAGAGCAGUUAAAAACAUCAGAAAAGUUGCUGCUACUUUGGGUACAUACAUUCAGAUUCUUUUGAACCAUGGAGCGACUCUUGAUAAUUUUCAUUUCAUAGGUAUGAGCUUAGGGGCUCAUGUUAGUGGAUUUGUUGGAAAGAUAUUUCAAGGUCAACUUGGAAGAAUAACAGGUCUUGACCCAGCUGGGCCAAAGUUCUCUGGACAGCCAUGUGAUCUCAGAUUAGAUUACACUGAUGCAAAGUUUGUGGAUGUCAUCCAUUCUGAUAUCAAUGGUUUAGGCAUUAAUGAACCUUUGGGACAUAUAGAUUUUUAUGCAAAUGGAGGAAAAAAGCAACCUGGCUGUCCCAAAUCCAUUUUUUCAGGCAUUGCAUUUAUUAAAUGCAGUCACCAGAGAGCCGUUUACUUGUUCAUGGCAUCUUUGGAAACAACCUGCAAUUUUAUUUCAUUUCCUUGUCCUUCAUACAAAGAUUUCCAUGCUGGUUCAUGUGUGGACUGUGACGACUUCAAGGAAAAAUCAUGUCCUAGGCUAGGUUAUCAAGCUGAGCUAUGGAAAGAUGUUUUAAAAGAAAGAAAAGAAAAAAGAUUUCUCAGGACCACUGUGUUUUUGGAUACUACUGGCACAAAACCAUUCUGCAGCUAUUAUUUUGUUCUCAGUAUAACUGUUCUGGAUAACAAUAUGAAAAAUGGCUGUAUUACAUUUAAGUUAUUAAACCAGCUUGGAAUGGUUGAAGAGCCAAGGGUCUAUGAGAAGAACAGAUCAUUUUAUCAACUUCAAGAAGUCAAGAUUCUUGCUCAGUUUUCAAAUGAUGUUGUAAAUAUUUCAGGCAUUGGUUUGGGAUAUUUUCAGAGCUCAAAUUGGCAAUGUUUCCAAUGUAAUUACAACAUCCACCGUGUCAUGGUACAAUCACUUACCUAUCCAGAAAGGGAACUAGCACACAUGGAAGGGAUUUUUUAGGUGCAUGUUUUGUAUGAUGUAUACCAUUUAAAGGAAAAUUCUUAUGUACCAAGGAAAGAUGACUUCUUUGAAGAGACCACCACUUUGCAUAUAUAAUUUUGUUCUUAAAGGAAAUGAGGAAUUAUUUCUCAAUCCAAGCACAUGCACAUCAGGAUUUGGUUUGUGAUUAAAGAACUUGUAAAUGGGGACAAUGUAAUCAGCAUUUCUUUAUGAAGGCAUUGUUCAAUCUGGGAUUCACAUAUUUCUACUUCCUGAAUAAAUUUUAAAAAUAAAAAAUAUAGAAAAAUGUUAAAAUGCAUAUAGUAAAGCAUUCUGAAUAUAUUCUAAAAGCUAUUUAUCUCUGUUUACCUCAAUCAAAUGUUUAUCGUUAAAUGUUUCCCUUAAUUACUUAAUAGAUAAUAUAUCUUUAGAAAAAAGAGAAGCCUAUUGUUUCAAUACACUGUCUAAACUAUCAUUUUCUACUUGUCAAACUGCAGUCAUAAAAGAAGUAUUUUUAAUUGUAAAUUUGUCACUUGGAGAAGUCACUUGGAUUAAUGUAAAUUUGGUAAACAUAAAUACACCUUGUGUUUAGUGAUCUAUUUGGCAUUUAGAGAUAUAUUUGAUUUAUUUGGCACUGUAAAUAAAUUUAUUUCUAUGGAGCACAGUAAUAUAUGGGUCUGUAAUGUUUAAGAUCAGACUUUGGGUCCACCUACUGAUGGUGUGAACUUGAGUAGCUAAACUUCAUCAUGUUUCAGUCACCUAAGAAUUUUUGUGAAGAUUGAGUCAAUAUUUUGACUGGUGUCUUUUCAAAUUAGUAUAAUAAUAAUAAGAAAUACAUAAUGAAAAUAAUAAUAAAAAUACUGAUAGUUAACACUUACAUACAUCCCUGUAUUGCUACACAGUUUAAUAACACAUAUAUCAAUUCAUUUAAUCCUUACAAAAACCCUAUGAGAUUGACCUCGUUAUUUCUGCUGAUAAAGACAUUGAGGGAUUCCUGGGCCUCCACUCUCUCACUUAUGUCUGAAUACUCCCAAGGUUUGUUUCAUGUGUGUUUAUAAACCAAUAUGUCAACUACAGUCACAGUCCGUGUGUUUUGACUUCCUGCUAUAUUAGUUUGCUACAGCUUCCACAGCAAAAUACCACAGAAUGGGUGACUUAAACAACAUAAAUUUAUUUUCUCACAGUCAUGGAGGCUGGAAGUCUAAGAUCCAGGUGUCAGUAGGCUUCAUUUAUUCUGAGGCCUCUCUCCUUGACAUGCAGAUGGCUGUCUUCUUGCUGUUUCCCCACAUGGUCUUUGUUCUGUGCAUGAUGUCUCUUCCAUGUGUCUGAAUUUCCUCUUAUGAAGACACCAGUCCAGUUGGAUGAGGGUCUACCCUAAAGGACUUAUUUAAAUUUAAUCGCUUCUUUGCAGACCCCCAACUCCAAAUAUAGUCGCAGUCUGAGGUGCUGAGGGUUAGGCUUUCAGCAUAUGAAUUUGGCGGUGGUGGGGGUGGUGGUGGAAGGGAGUGGGGUCAGGAGGCACAGUUCAGUCCAUAAUGCCUGCUAUGACUCAUUAGCUCCACAAUGAUGACCUUUGCCUGAUAAGCCAUUUGAAGAUUAAUUGGGGUCAUUUUUGUUGCCCAUCUGGAAAACACUGAUGUGUGAAGACUCUUGAUGUACUAGAUGAGUGUUCCAGGCAGAAACAAGUAGAAGUCUCCUCACUUUUUGUCCAGGGAUUUAAUUAGUGCAUCCUGUACCUCAACUGAUAGUCCUUUUUGAAAACAGCGCCUUCAGGUUUUGUCUCAGCCUUCACCACACAGGCCUCUGACUCAAGUCUGCAGAGACACCUGUUUGCUCCUCUCUGUCUCUGAGGUGUCUGCUCACAGUCUUAAACAAAACUACAAACCCUCAUGUAAUUGCUAAUCCUCUCUAAUUAAUUUGCCAGAUAUUCCCAGCAACUUUUGGAUCUGUUUGUGAUGGGAAUGACAUUUAAAAUUAAAUGUCAAUAAAUGCACUACAGAUAAAUUAUGAGGACCAGAAAUUCUGUUCCAGUAUUCCAGUUGCUUAGGGUUUCUGGAUAAUAGAGAAACUGAUAGCAUUUUCAUGGCUCCUGUAACCUUUAUAAUAAAACACUUUGCCACAGGUGAUAGACUCUCCCAAGGAUAACUUGGAGACACAAGCUUAUAAAAUGUUUAUAGGUUUCCAUAUUAUAAUAUCUUUCAGGAUUCUAAUUAUUCCCAUUUUUUAAAAGAUAAAAACAGAGAAGGGAAGAAGGCUGUGACUCCUCUGACCUCAAGUUCAUAGUCCUUAAGCAACAUUUUUUAUCCUACUUUUUUUUUUAAAUUUGUGGAAAUCAUAGAUCAAAAAUAAAAGGGGAAAAAUGUGCUUUUUGGAGGAUUAUGGUGAAGCACAGGUAUUCUAUAGCAAUAAUCAGGGACAACAAAAGGAACAAAUAAGAAUUAUGCACAAAAUAUGUUACACCAUGAUGCUUUGAAGGCAUGCUGUUCUGGAACAGAUAGAAAAGGAAACAGAGAUGAGAUGUUUAAUUUCUAUCUUUCAUGAUGCUUACUUGGCAUGAAUCACAGAAUCAGACUCAACCCUGUCUUUCAAAGUCCUUUCAACAAUGCAGUUUGGUUAUUUUUAGGUUAGUUUUAGGAUUUAUCUAAUUAAAUAAUAUAUUACAAUUUUAUUGACGUGUCUUCUUGUGUUUCCAUGGAAUAAUAAAUUUUAUACUUAAAAAAAUCACCAGCAAAGCAACAAAUCAUACCUUUGUUCCAAUAAUGGUUGACUGAAAUGAGGAGUAAAUAUAAUCCUCAGCAAACUGUAUUUUGUU